UACCCUUUUAUACUUAGAUAGAAUUUGUUUUUGCUAGAGCAGUAGUAGAUAUAUUCUUAAAAUUUAAAAAAUUUGGCGGUACUUUAAUCUAGUUAGAGGAACCUGUUUUUUUAAAACGAUAAACCACGAAAUAUCUUACUUGUUUUAAGCCUGUAUACCGUCAUUGUCAGAUAAUUUUUAGAGAAAAAAUUAUUUAAAUUUAACAGAUUAAAUUAUAUUAGAUCAAGGUGCAGCCGAUAAACAAGAAAAAAUGGGUUACAAUAAAUUUAUUUAAAACGGAAUUAUACCUUGAAAGGGGUUUAGGAAGGAGGAUUUAAUUGUAUAGAAUUUUUAAUAUGUAUUUUAGAAAUUAGCUCUAAAGUAUGUACAU
rnacentral:rRNA from 1 species